ensembl:lncRNA
GUUUGUAACCCAACUGAACGGUAUAAAAAUACAGCUUUCAAUGGAAAAUAUGUUUAUUAUGUAAUCUUAGAAACCCUUCUUUCCCCGGGCUCCUAGGUUCCACAGGAUGUAAUAAUUAGACUUUUAACAGAUCACCCAUUUUAUCUCUCCUGUUCAGCUAGAGCCCUUCUAAUCCACGGGUACCAGUUGUCUUUCUUUGAGAUGGUCUGAUACUUAUUGAAGUCUGUGGUUUUCCUCAUCUUGAAUUUAAUUUUGAAAUUUGUUUCCAGUUCUGAAGACCUUGAUCCCCGAAAGCCAAUCUACUUUUUCCAGCUGUAAUUGUUUGUCUACAAAAUGUAAUUUCUCAACUUUAUAAACCUUGUCUCCACAAAGCCCUAUGAUAAUCAGGGCUAUGCUAUGACUAUAAUAAUCUAUGAACAUAGAAUCAAAAUAAUGAUGCAGAUUUUUAAAGACAGAGUUGAGUGAAGUGCACUAAGGCAUUAAUGCUGAAGUCUGUAAAAAGAAAGUAAUUUUUAAAUAAGAAUAUGCAUAAAUAAGAGCUUAUAAGAAAUCAUACGCUAGAGGCAGUGCUUGUGACAAGGUGCUGGGAUGUUAACUAAUUACCAACCUUUUCCAGCCACUUGUGUCUCUCCAGAAGAUAUUGUUUUGCACAGCAUUACUCACUGGUAUUUCUUCUCUUUCCUCCAUAAGGCUUUUAGAACCCUAGGAUGGUUUAUUUGGAGUACUUUUUGGAUAAUUGAAAGCUGUUCCACAGAGUAGCUUUUGUGGAACAUUCUGAAGCCCAAGCCAUAGGAAAUCAACAGAUAAGACUUCACAUAGCUGUUGCUUGAUCAGCCAGGGAUCCCACAUGCUUUUGGCUGUGUUCUGAGAACUAAGAAACUUCCGGUAGGAGAUUUCUGCAAACAUAAAUAGGCAUGAUAAAUGAUUAGCAACAGCUGGACAGUUAGUACUAGAGUCUGUGGGUCUGCUGAGCCUGAAAGCCUUCGGCUCCACAGGAAAUAUGAGCACUAUGGAAACAGCUCCCAAAUUAUGGAGGUUUUGGUUGCAUGUCUUUCACCAACUGGAGGGUAUUCUUUCAAACAGUGACAACGGCUGUGUUUCAAAUAAGAGACAAACUCAGGACCACCUUCUUUCUAAAACAAAAUAAAUCAGCUGUUGGAAGAGGACUGUUGAAGAGAAACAUCUGGAGGAAAUGCCACUCUGGUUUCAGACUUGCUUUUGGAAUACCCUAACAUACAUCUUCCAGGAUAUGAUACUGUGUUUCAUCAGACAACAUCACAAUGAGAUCAUACAUCUGAAUAUGGACUGCAGGCUAGCUUUAUGAAGCAUGGUGAUUGCUAUGUCCGAUUCUGUUUCCUGAGUGAGUAAAUUAGGAAUAUUUCUCAUCCAAUCAUGAGAAAUUGGAUCAUUACUUUGAUGUUAGAAUGGAAUCCUAGAUUAGUACAAAAAUGAUUAGUUCACAAACUCUGAAUUUAUGUGAGGGUAGAAGACAACAUCUGUAACCAGAAGCAGUUCUGAGAUAUCAACAGAGUUGCAAAGACAAACUACAACUAAAUCCAGUACAGAAUUAAGGUGAGAAAAAUUUAUGGUACAAAACAGUGAAAAUGCCAUGAUUUUGUGGAGCCAUCUGUAAUCUGAGACUGUGGACUGCUACAGAGGAGAGCAAAUAACAAGACUGAUCUGUCUUUACAUGUACCUGUUAAUAUUUUCUAGUGCUCCUUCCACAUAUGCUCUUAGCGUGAAUACAAAAUAUAUCCAUUCCUCAUAAUACAUCUUCAUGAAUUUAUCAGCCUUUUUAAGAAUUCGAGAGAAUAAAUAACUUUCUGGCAAAUUCUCAGAUCUCUCAUUGUUAAAAUGUUGACCUAAAAUGUCAUUGAUACCGACAUAAUCUUCAUAAUUAGUUACUUGGUAGCUGCGUAUCUAUGAUUUCGUAGCAGUCGGGUCUGAUACAAGUUAAGACAUUUGUAUUUUAAAGAAUUUCUUUUGCUUUUGGUAUAUGUAGAGCUUGCAGCAACAUGACCAUCUGAAUGUUAUCAUCGUAUAGUUUGCAAGGAGGUUUUUUUUAAAGUUAUAGCUACAUGAAGAAGGAAUAUUCAGACUAGGCAGAACACAGAGUAUGUAGGGAAUAUAUUACUACGAAUUCCUCCAAUUAAAGGUAAAUGUAUCUGUCCUUGUUCCUGGAUUUUGCUGAAAUAUGUUACAUCUAUUCACCUGCCUUCUUCUGUAUAGUGAUAUGUGUAAUAGGUAUCAUAAGCAAUUAGUUGCAAAUUGUUGCUAUAAAAUCUGCAGUGAAAUGAAACAAUCUGUUGCUGUCCUACUUAGAGAUGUUUCUGUGAGUUAUCUUGGCUCUGUUUUAGAGUAGUGUGUGUAAGAGAUUUAGUAUUUUCUUUUUUAAGGCUUUGAUUUUGACAUGACCUAAUUCUUUCUUUUUCUUUUUUUCUUUCUUUCUUUCUUUUUUUUUUUUUCUGAAAUGUUGUAAUCGUAAAUUGAUGUAUUUGAAAUGUAAUUAAGCUUUUGGCCACUUGGACACUGCAGAAUCAACACCCAAAAUACAUCUAUGAUCUAUGUAUAUACAUAUUUUAAUCUCAUAUUCAUGGAGAUAUGUCUUUUGUUACAAAGUGGACCUGGAUCAUUUGUUCUCUUAUACACUUAAUUUUUCAUUAACUUAUUUCAACUUAUUUUUAAAAAAGUAUGCAGCCUAUAUAGUCAAGGUUGGGGUGUGAAAAUUGUUUUCUUUUUCACUGAGUGCUUAUCAGACAAGAGCAGGAGGUGCCUCACAGUAUAGUCUGUUCUGGCUGCAUUGCUCCUCCUGUUGUCAAAGAAUAUUGGUGUUCAACUCUGAGUUGCUAAGAUACAUAGUUCAUGAAACUAUAGUGUGCUACAACAAUACAAUGAGAGAUUCUUUAAAAAAGGAAAUCUUCUGCAAAAGAGCCUUCUUAUUAAAACAGUGAUAUAUUAAAGCUGUAAAAGAUCAGCGAUUUCCUAAGAAAGGAAUAGUAUCUACCAAGCAUUUUUUUCCUUUUAUUGAGACAGUAGUUCCAAAAGUUAAGGGAAGGCAACGUGCCCAUCUUCCACAUAUUUGUGGUUUGCCUCCAACUAAACAUGAUAAUCUUUUUCUUUGUGGGAGAGGACUAUAAAAGCACAUGUAUCAGUUAUCUUAUGCCAAAUGCAUAAAUGUUUAUAUAAGAACAGUAUGGACAGUAAAAAUUAUUCUUUAAUAGCUCCCAUAUCACAAAGGAUUCAGAAAACCACCCAUGUCCUGGAAGACCAUGGAAGCAUAUAUUUGGCUACAGCAUAGC